rnacentral:tmRNA from 1 species
GGGGCUGACUUGGAUUUCGACAGAUUUCUUGUCGCACAGAUAGCAUGCCAAGCGCUACUUGUAAAACAGCAACAAAAAUAACUGUAAACAACGCAGAUUACGCUCCAGCUUACGCUAAAGCUGCGUGAGUUAAUCUCCUUUUGGAGCUGGACUGAUUAGAAUUUCUAGCGUUUUAAUCACUCCAUAACCUUAAGCUAGACGCUUUUAAAAGGUGGUUCGCCUUUUAAACUAAGAACAAGAACUCUUGAAACUACCUCAAGGUUUUAGAAAGUUGGACCAGAGCUAGUUUUAAGGCUAAAAAACUAACCAAUUUUCUAAGCAUUGUAGAAGUUUGUGUUUAGGGCAAGAUUUUUGGAUUGGGGUUCGAUUCCCCACAGCUCCACCA